rnacentral:rRNA from 1 species
GACGUAGGGCGCGAGCGUUUGUCCGGAUUUAUUGGGCGUAAAGAGCUCGUAGGCGGUUUGUCGCGUCGGCCGUGAAAUCUCCACGCUUAACGUGGAGCGUGCGGUCGAUACGGGCAGACUAGAGUGUGGUAGGGGAGACUGGAAUUCCUGGUGUAGCGGUGAAAUGCGCAGAUAUCGGGAAGAACACCCGUGGCGAAGGCGGCUCUCUGGGACGGUACUGACGCUGAGACGCGAAAGCGUGGGGAGCGAACAGG